UACGUAGGGGGCGAGCGUUGUCCGGAGUUACUGGGCGUAAAGCGCACGCAGGCGGUCUGUUACGUUUGGAGUGACAGUUGGUGGCUCAACCACCAAAGUGCUUUGAAAACUGAUAGACUUGAGGGCUUCAGAGGGACACGGAAUUCCGGGUGGAGUGGUGAAAUGCGUAGAGAUCCGGAGGAACACCAAAGGCGAAGGCAGUGUCCUGGGGAGUACCUGACGCUCAGGUGCGAAAGCCAGGGGAGCGAACGGG
rnacentral:rRNA from 1 species